UGGGGAAUAUUGGACAAUGGGCGAAAGCCUGAUCCAGCCAUGCCGCGUGUGUGAAGAAGGUCUUCGGUUUGUAAAGCACUUUAAGUUGGGAGGAAGGGCAUUAACCUAAUACGUUAGUGUUUUGACGUUACCGACAGAAUAAGCACCGGCUAACUCUGUGCCAGCAGCCGCGGUAAUACAGAGGGUGCAAGCGUUAAUCGGAAUUACUGGGCGUAAAGCGCGCGUAGGUGGUUUGUUAAGUUGGAUGUGAAAUCCCCGGGCUCAACCUGAGAACUGCAUUCAAAACUGACUGACUAGAGUAUGGUAGAGGGUGGUGGAAUUUCCUGUGUAGCGGUGAAAUGCGUAGAUAUAGGAAGGAACACCAGUGGCGAAGGCGACCACCUGGACUAAUACUGACACUGAGGUGCGAAAGCGUGGGGAGCAAACA
rnacentral:rRNA from 1 species